rnacentral:rRNA from 1 species
CAACUUUUGACGGUGGAUCUCUUGGCUCACGCAUCGAUGAAGAACGCAGCCAGCUGCGAUAAGUAGUGUGAAUUGCAGAAUUCAGUGAAUCAUCGAAUCUUUGAACGCAAAUGGCGCUNUUGGGUUCUCCCAGGAGCAUGUCUGUNUGAGUGUCGGAU